rnacentral:rRNA from 1 species
UACGGAGGUGGCAAGCGUUGCUCGGAAUCACUGGGCGUAAAGGGCGCGUAGGCGGGGAGGUAAGUCGGGUGUGAAAUCCCUCGGCCCAACCGAGGAACUGCGCCCGAGACUGCUUCUCUUGAGUCCCGGAGAGGAAGGUGGAAUUCCCGGUGUAGCGGUGAAAUGUGUAGAGAUCGGGAGGAACACCGGUGGCGAAGGCGGGUCUCUGGGCAGUAACUGACGCUGAGGAGCGAAAGCGUGGGGAGCGAACAGG